rnacentral:rRNA from 1 species
AUUGAACGCUGGCGGCAGGCUUAACACAUGCAAGUCGAGCGGGGUUUUCGGACCUAGCGGCGGACGGGUGAGUAAUGCGUAGGAAGCUACCCGAUAGAGGGGGAUACCAGUUGGAAACGACUGUUAAUACCGCAUAAUGUCUACGGACCAAAGUGUGGGACCUUCGGGCCACAUGCUAUCGGAUGCGCCUACGUGGGAUUAGCUAGUUGGCGGGGUAAUGGCUCACCAAGGCGACGAUCCCUAGCUGGUUUGAGAGGAUGAUCAGCCACACUGGAACUGAGACACGGUCCAGACACCUACGGGGGGCAGCAGUGGGGGAUAUUGGACAAUGGGCGCAAGCCUGAUCCAGCCAUGCCGGGUGUGUGAAGAAGGCCUUCGGGUUGUAAAGCACUUUCAGUAGGGAGGAAGGGUGUUGUGUUAAUAGCACAGCAUUUUGACGUUACCUACAGAAGAAGCACCGGCUAACUCUGUGCCAGCCGCCGCCGUAAUAC